UCCCUGGUGGCUCAGAUGGUAAAGAAUCUGCCUGCAAUGCAGGAGACCUGGGUUCGAUCCCUAGGUCGGGAA
rfam:TPA: Bos taurus chromosome 18, whole genome shotgun sequence.